rnacentral:rRNA from 1 species
AUGGCCACUCUCUUCCGCGAGUGCUGUCUCUGGCAAAAGUUUAGUGAGCAGUGCCUGCCGGAGUCGCAGGACUCCUGCUACCCGGAGGAGCAAUAUUUACGGACACCGCUCGACGUGGCCGACCCUGCCGGCUGCACCUGGUACACGCUCACGCGCAUCGACUAUACUGACAGUGUCGACGGCGACCCACAGACUUAUGGCGUGCCAGAGGUGUCGCUGCUGCUCACCGCCGAGCUGCAUCAGUCCAACAACUCCACCUAUGAGCACAUGUUUGCGCGCAAGUUCGCGCCUGACUGCCUUGGCCCGCUCAUGGUCAUCGCAGACACUGUCAUCUUCAAAGAUUGA